UACUGCCUACGGGGGGCAGCAGUAGGGAAUUUUCGUCAAUGGGCGCAAGCCUGAACGAGCAAUGCCGCGUGAACGAGGAAGGUCUUCGGAUCGUAAAGCUCUGUUGAAGGGGAAAAAGAGCGGAGAGUGGAAAUGCUUUCUGAUUGAUAUUACCCUUCGAGGAAGUCACAGCUAACUACGUGCCAGCAGCCGCGGUAAUACGUAGGUGGCGAGCGUUAUCCGGAAUGAUUGGGCGUAAAGGGUGCGUAGGCGGCCUGCUAAGCCUGGAGUGAAAGGUACCGGCUCAACCGGUACAGGCCCUGGAA
rnacentral:rRNA from 1 species